GAAGUAUCUUGUUUCGGUUCUACUUACAGUUCAGUUUUAAGUUCGAGUUCGGCUAAACGAUCAUUAGACUGAACAACUAUUUUUAAUAUAUAUGUGAUACUAAUUCUAAAAAUAUAUUAUUACAAGUUACAAUAACAAUAUCAAAUUCUACUUCCAGUCUUCCACUAUAAUUUAAUACAACUCUCCCUGGUUCCUUCACAUCAAAUAUGCUUCGCUGUCAUCAUUGCAUUGAUUUUCCAUGGGUAGUCUUGGAUCUUCCGAAAACAAAAAGAUGAAUGUCCAUUUAUAAAUUCCAUAUAUAAAUUUAAAAACCCUAAAAAAAGGUUUUGUGGGUUUAUACAGGAAGUAAGCAAAACACAUAUGACUCAAGAAAAAGCUUUGAUCUCCAAAUUAUAAAGAAAAUAUACUUAUAUGCGAUUAAG